rnacentral:tRNA from 1 species
AUUUAUAUAGUUUAAUCAAAACCUUACAUUUUCACUGUAAAAAUAAAAAUUUAUUUUUUAUAAAUA